rnacentral:rRNA from 1 species
ACGGAAGGCAGCAGUGGGGAAUAUUGGACAAUGGAGGCAACUCUGAUCCAGCGACGCCGCGUGAGUGAAGAAGUAUUUCGGUAUGUAAAGCUCUAUCAGCAGGGAAGAUAAUGACGGUACCUGACUAAGAAGCCCCGGCUAACUACGUGCCAGCAGCCGCGGUAAUACGUAUGGAGCAAGCGUUAUCCGGAUUUACUGGGUGUAAAGGGAGCGUAGACGGCGAAACAAGUCUGAAGUGAAAUCCCGGGGCUCAACCCCGGAACUGCUUUGGAAACUGUUUUGCUAGAGUGCAGGAGAGGUAAGCGGAAUUCCUAGUGUAGCGGUGAAAUGCGUAGAUAUUAGGAGGAACACCAGUGGCGAAGGCGGCUUACUGGACUGUAACUGACGUUGAGGCUCGAAAGCGUGGGGAGCAAACAGGAUUAGAUACCCUGGUA